UUGAUCCUGCGGAAGGUUGCUGCUAUCGGGAUUCGAUUAAGCCAUGCAAGUCUGUCGCAAGACGGCGAAAUGCUCAGUAACACGUCAAUAAUCUGCCCUUAGGUCAGGGAUACCCUUGGUAAACUGAGGUUAAACCCUGAUAGGAUAAUUCUAUUGUAAUAUGUUUUAUCUUAAAUUCGUGCCUAAGGAUGAGUUGGCGGCGGAUUAGGUAGUUGGUGGGGUAAAGGCCCACCAAGCCGAAGAUCCGUACGGGCCUUGAGAGAGGUAGCCCGGAGAAGGACACUGAGAUACUGGUCCUAGCCCUACGGGGUGCAGCAGGCGCGAAACCUUUACAAUGCACGCAAGUGUGAUAAGGGGAUCCCGAGUGCUCAUGUUUUACAUGGGCUUUUGCCAAGAGUAAAAAUCUUGGCGAAUAAAUGGUGGGUAAGACUGGUGCCAGCAGCCGCGGUAACACCAGCGCCAUGAGUGGCAAUCAUAAUUAUUGGGCCUAAAGCGUCCGUAGCCUGUUUGAUAAGUCUUUUGUGAAAUCGUUGGGCUUAACUUAACGAUGUGCAAGAGAUACUGUCAGACUCGGAACCGGGAGGAGUCGGAGGUAUUCUGGGGGGAGCGGUAAAAUGCUAUAAUCCCUGGAGGACCACCUGUGGCGAAAGCGUCCGACUAGAACGGCUUCGACGGUGAGGGACGAAAGCCAGGGGAGCAACCGGAUUAGAUACCCGGGUAGUCCUGGCCAUAAACGCUGCGAGCAAGGUGUCGUGUAUCCUCCGUGGAUAUGCGGUGUCGAAACGAAGGUGUUAAGCUCGCCGCCUGGGAAGUAUGGUCGCAAGGCUGAAACUUAAAGGAAUUGGCGGGGGAGCACCACAAGGGGUGCGGCGUGCGGUUUAAUCUAAUUCAACGCAGAGAAUCUCACCAGAAGCGACGGCAGGAUGAAGGUCAGUCUGAAGGGCUUACCUGACGAGCCGAGAGGUAGUGCAUGGCCGUCGUCAGCUCGUGCCGUAAGGUGUCCUGUUAAGUCAGGCAACGAGCGAGACCUGUACCUAUAAUUGCUAACAACUCUUUUAGGAGAAUUGUGCACAUUAUAGGGACUGCCUGGGAAACCAGGAGGAAGGUGCAGGCUACGGUAGGUCUGUAUGCUCCGAAUCUUCUGGGCUACACGCGCGCAACAAUGGUAAGGACAAUGUGACGCAACUCCGAAAGGAGGAGCUAAUCCUCGAAACCUUGCCUUAGUUCAGAUUGAGGACUGUAACUCGUCCUCAUGACGCUGGAAUCCCUAGUAAUCGGACGUCAUCAUCGUUCGGUGAAUAUGUCCCUGCUCCUUGCACACACCGCCCGUCAAACCACUCGAGCAGGGUUUGGGUGAGACUUGGUUUUCAAUCAAGCCGAAUCUAAACUCAGUGAGAUGGGUUAAGUCGUCACAAGGUG
rnacentral:rRNA from 1 species